rnacentral:rRNA from 1 species
UACGGGGGGGGCAAGCGUUGUUCGGAAUUACUGGGCGUAAAGGGCUCGUAGGCGGCCAACUAAGUCAGACGUGAAAUCCCUCGGCUUAACCGGGGAACUGCGUCUGAUACUGGAUGGCUUGAAUCCGGGAGAGGGAUGCGGAAUUCCAGGUGUAGCGGUGAAAUGCGUAGAUAUCUGGAGGAACACCGGUGGCGAAGGCGGUUCUCUGGGCCUUACCUGACGCUGAGGAGCGAAAGCAUGGGGAGCAAACAGG